rnacentral:rRNA from 1 species
AGAGUUUGAUCCUGGCUCAGGACGAACGCUGGCGGCGUGCUUAACACAUGCAAGUCGAACGAGAGGAGAAGGAAGCUUGCUUCUUUCGAAUCUAGUGGCAAACGGGUGAGUAACACGUAAACAACCUGCCUUCAGGAUGGGGACAACAGACGGAAACGACUGCUAAUACCGAAUACGUUCCUUAGGUCGCAUGACUUUAGGAAGAAAGGGUGGCCUCUACUUGUAAGCUAUCGCCUGAAGAGGGGUUUGCGUCUGAUUAGGUAGUUGGUGAGGUAACGGCCCACCAAGCCGACGAUCAGUAGCCGGUCUGAGAGGAUGAACGGCCACACUGGAACUGAGACACGGUCCAGACUCCUACGGGAGGCAGCAGUGGGGAAUCUUCCGCAAUGGGCGAAAGCCUGACGGAGCAACGCCGCGUGAGUGAUGACGGCCUUCGGGUUGUAAAGCUCUGUGAUCGGGGACGAACGGUCAGCAGACGAAUACUCUGCUGAAUUGACGGUACCCGAAUAGCAAGCCACGGCUAACUACGUGCCAGCAGCCGCGGUAAUACGUAGGUGGCAAGCGUUGUCCGGAAUUAUUGGGCGUAAAGCGCGCGCAGGCGGCUUCUUAAGUCCAUCUUAAAAGUGCGGGGCUUAACCCCGUGAUGGGAUGGAAACUGAGAGGCUGGAGUAUCGGAGAGGAAAGUGGAAUUCCUAGUGUAGCGGUGAAAUGCGUAGAGAUUAGGAAGAACACCGGUGGCGAAGGCGACUUUCUGGACGACAACUGACGCUGAGGCGCGAAAGCGUGGGGAGCAAACAGGAUUAGAUACCCUGGUAGUCCACGCCGUAAAC